GUGAACUUGGUUGGACUGGCUCCAGAGUCUAUACUCCAAAUUAUUCCUCCUGGAUAAGACAUAGUUUUGAGUGGAGAAAGUCUCACCUGGCUCCCUUUUCGGUUAAUGGAUGUCUCCAGGAAGCCUCCUUGGUCCUACCUUCAAAGAUAGGUCUGAAACCCAGUGCAGCUUCCUGAUCCCUGGAGAACUUCCUUAAGGCGGCCUCCUGUAAGCUCUGCCAGCUGUCGCCCUCUGAUUUCUGAUGAACUGCAUUGCAACACUCCUCUGCAGUCUUGCCAGCCGUGGCUCUCUGGCCACCAUUAAACAUUUUUAAAGCAGCCCUCUACAACUUGUUGCAGGUGCAACUUUCUAUCAAAAAUAUUUCUUUCAUUUUGUCUUUUUGAAGUACCUAAGAAAUGGGAAAUUCUUUUCCUCAUUUUCAUUUGGCUUGUGUAGUUACACGUCCCAAAGGAGAAACAAAAACGCAAACACUGAGGAUAGGCAUAUAAGGAUUCUACUAGUUGGUGAUGAGCUGGGAACUGAAUAACUGAGUAUUCAGGAUGGCUGGGACAUCAAAGCUGACAGGAAUGUUAACAGACGAGAGUGUCUUGAUAUUCAUGGAACAAAGGAGCAGGGCUCCAAACAUUCGACUUUGAUUUAAUUGAGUUGCUUAUAUAAAAAUACUGGCUGCUCACAAGAAUCACCCUGGAAGCUUUAAAAAAUAGCAAUGCUUGUCCUACCACAAACCAGUAAAUCAGAAUUUCUGAUUUAAUAUAUACCAGAGAUACAUGAAUGUAUGUAUCAGAUUUCACACACACCAGUGGUAUGGAUAGUAUGUUAAUAAGUGCAAAGGAGGAAAGUUAAGUUUGAAAAGUCAAAUAGAAAAUUGUAUGUGUGUGUUUGGUGGAGAGGCUGCAAAUUAAAAAUUGAGUGGUUAGAGAAGAACUUCUGUUCCCUGUUUUUUUUCAUUUGCUAUUUUAUGAAAUUGUCUCAAUACAAUACAUAAUCCUCAGAAAAGGAAGUCUUGUACUAUAUCAAUGUCAGCUUGCAUUUAGUAAGUCAACAUUAUCAGCAUAAGGAACUUGUCUUGAGAGUAAAUAUUUGUAAGUUUGAAUAAGUGGGCCUGAUUGCAAUCUCAUAACUAAAAUGAGCCGGAAAGAAAGUGACUCACUGGAAUUACUGUUUGCAUUAGAUACUCUAUACUGAUACAUUGCAAUAUGUUCCGUAGGUCAUAAUAUUACUUCCUCAAAGACUAAGAUAUUCUGAGAGAGCAAAAGUUGAUUUUGUAUAAAUCAUUUUCUUUUGAAAUGUAAAUUGUGUUGCUUUUUAU
rnacentral:lncRNA from 1 species